rnacentral:lncRNA from 1 species
UUUGGAGAGAAAAGAAAGAAGGGAUACUGGUCUGUAGUUGUUGACAUCGGAGGGAUCGAGUGUAGGUUUUUUCAGAAGGGGUGCAACUCUCGCUCUCUUGAAGACGGAAGGGACGUAGCCAGCGGUCAAGGAUGAGUUGAUGAGCGAGAUGAACGUGGUACCUUCAGGCGUUUGGAAAUUGCUCCCAAGGAUGAACCAGACUUGUGGAUGUCUACAAUCUUUUUUCUGAGGUGUUGGCUGAUUUCUUUGGAUUUUCCCAUGAUGUCAAGCAAAGAGGCACUGAGUUUGAAGUUAAGACCAAGCCUAUGAACAACAGUGAGACUGACUAACACAGGCAGCAGCACUGGACAGCCAUGCAGGCGAUUCUCCAAGGAAUCAUCUUUUAUGCAGCGCUGGAGCUGAAAUGGACAAUAAAACUCAUCCUUUGUUGCUGUAUUGAAUAAUAAAAUUGUCAUGCAAUCUGA